ensembl:snoRNA
AUCCUUUUUUGGCUCAUAAGCAUGAUGAUUGGGUGUUCAUGCCUCUGCGUGACAUGUGCCGCCCUCAAACCUUGUUACGACGUGGGCACAUUACCCUUCUGACG